rnacentral:lncRNA from 1 species
CAAAUUCUAGAGGAAUAAUAUAAAGGAAUCAUGUUCAUAAGUUUAAUCCAAAUACAUUAAUAACACCAGGGGAAUAAUCCUAUAAUCUGGCUUCAAAUAACACCAUCCGCUGAAUUUAGUUACAUUUUUACUAACCAAAACACUAUAAGUGAAGAUAGAAGGGAAACCGUUAUUUCCGAAUUUAGACAUAUUUACAUGCUAUACUUUAUCUGGAUAUAAAGAGAGGAAAUAUACAGCAUGAGAUGGAGUAGUGGAGCAGAGCGCCCGCAUCAGUGGUCAAUCUACGGUAGGCAAGUGAAUGAUGCGGUGCCGUGAUUGCUAUUCACUGGUGAUGAAGGGAAGCGGCGGAUAAACAAAGGAGAUGCCCCUGGCCGCUGUGUCUCCCCCUGGGAGCCCUCCCGUUUGACGCUCCUUGUGUCAAACAGUCGAGGAAUUGCACAGGGCGCUCCUCGUAAUCUUGCGCGCAAACAGGGCUCCAAACAGUUGAGAAUUCGCACAGGGUAACUUGUUAGUAUAUCAAAAAAGAAACUAAUGAUGCUACACUAACUCUGCCCUGCUGUAGCAAACGUGAAAGCUUACACCAGUGCAAAUGUUAUUCACAUAUUACUCUGCGAUUCACAUGAAAAAUAUAGAGACAAGGCCCUAAACAUCCAUGAUAUAGACGUCCAGUAAGUAAAAUAGCUAGAGUCACACACACACAAAAAUCAGAGAAGAACCUUUAGGUAAAAUCCCUAGAGUUGAUGGGAAAGGCCCCACAAAGCAUUGAAAGUUGCAAAUUUAGCAGAGCAUAUAGAACCAUGCUUUAUAUUGUCUGAGAGAACACAACAGCCAUACAUCUUUUAAGAAAUAUUGGUCAGAUUAUAAACAGAGUACAUUGCUAGUUGCAUAGCCUCCUUCAGUACCAUCUUUAUACAUUAUUUAGUAAGGCUCCCUAAUUCAAAUUAUCCUAACAGAAUAGCUCAUCAUUGUAUGCAUAAUAUGCACAUAACUUAGAAAACAAAAUCAAUAUUAGAGAUGAGUAACAUGUCCUAAUAUAAUAAGGUGGAUUGACAUGUAUGGAAAACAAACAUGUGUUGUCCCUCCAAGACAUCUGUGCACACAACAUUCUUGGUUCUUUUUCCAGUGGGAUGAGUAAACUAUGUGUAGACAUGCAGAAAUUAUUAUGACAUUCCAACCAUCGGCAUGUAAAAAUACAAAGCAAUAACUCAUUGGCAAUAACAAGUACAGCCUUGAUCCUAAGCAUAUAGUUAUUUAGCACGACCAAAAAUUUAUUAAGAAAGAAAAUCACCCAGUGGAACGCACCUAAGUUGACCAGAACAUGUUGUAUUUUUAUUAGAAUGGCAUUUUAAUUUGAAGGAGGUAAUAAUACGCACCAUCUACAACAGACAGUGCUGGGGGCUACCAACUUAUAAGCAUAACACUAACCGUCACUGUUCUGUUCAAUUCAAUUUUUAAGCUCAGACCGUACCAUGAAAACACGAAGUGCUUUUGCUCAAUACUUGGUGCUACCAUUGAUUUUGCUCCCACUUAUGCUCUUGGGUGUUGACUAAGGGAGUUACUGGACAAUAGGCCAGUCUUUGAUUUUGUCUAUCUUUACACUGCAGAUCAACAUCUCAAUUUAGUCAAAUUCUUCCUUUUGAAGUCAUGGGACAUGCUGAGUAGAUCAUUCCAAUUAAUUUCUUUUUCUGAGAAUCUAUUCAUUAACAUUAGAGAUGACAACUACUUCUGAUUGCAUUUUGCAAAAUAAAAGGUAAAUGACUCAAAGCAGUUGUGAUUAGAUCUCAAUCUCUGGAAGAGUUUAUCUGAUAACCCGCAGAAGACUACAUAAUCUGAAACGUAAAUUUAUAUCAGUGCAGCAUGAGACAGCUGAAACAAACAAUCUAAUAUGUGCAUAGUUAGCCUAAUACUCCCUCCGUCCGGAAAUAC